rnacentral:lncRNA from 1 species
ACGGGCGUUAUCAUGCUGCAACUCGUGGUUACGGCGACGUGCCAAAUAAGCUGAGAUGCAGUGUACAGUUGAUCAUCAUUCAGUCCACUCCUUGACUUCAUAAUGAGAUGCAAAUUUUCCAAAGUAAUCGCUUCAUCACCAUUCUCUUCCAAGUAAUCAAUGGCAAUCUCAAAUGCUGUCAUCUUGGACAUACUCUUCGGUCGACCAAGCUUCCGUUUCUUCGGUGGAGCUUCCCCAUGUUCAAUAUAAGUUGUAGGUAUACUGGUCCCUCUCCGAAAAUUCUUAUCACAUGCAUGGUGAUAGAUAGCUUCUUCAGCAGGUAGAUCGUGUAUUGGCACAACACGUGACUGUACCAUCUUGGCCCAAUCAUCCUGCCUCUUGACACAGUAUGCUGCAAUAGUUUCCUGGAACUCAAGAGCCAUCACACGGCUGAAUUGAAGUACACUUCUAUCUAGAUGUUUGUAUGCAGCAUCCUGGUCAAUAUAAGUACCACAUAGAAAACAGUGAGUUUUAAAAUUGAAGGCUUUUACAUAUGAUCGAAGAGUUUUCUGAGCUAUAUGUGAUGCUCCACAUUUUUUAGCUGCUUUGAUUGCCUUUGGAUUUAUAUGCUUACUUCGACACUGUUUGUGUACCAACAGGCUAGAGUUCUCAUUGUAUAUGGUGUCUGGUGCAUCUUAUUUGCGCAGUCUGUUUGCAUUGCCACAGCAGCCUUUUUCUGUCAACUUCACAGGUCCAGGUUGACCGGUUCCAUACAUAGCACACAAGUAGCCAUCUGUGAUCUACGUUCGACACCUUCAGAUGAGAACAGUCAACUGCAAAUAGUAACAGUUGCUAGAAAUAUGGUUGACAUGUGUACAGAUACAAAUGAAUACAGAUUCAAAGAUUUAAAGUGAUAACUUAUUUCUCUCAUACAGGAUGCAUUUUUCAUAAAUAAUUACUUUGUCCAUUGUAGCAAAUGAUUUGUGCGCUAAAUGUCUUGAUUAUCUUCAAAAUCGACUUUUAAUCAAAGUUCAUACCAUUUGAGAAUAAUAACUGCUCACCGGAGUUGGGAUUAUCUCCCUUCAUUUGCCUUGAAACCAAUGAGGAUGUUAAUGGCCCUGUUACAAAUUUUAUAUUCAUAUUUGUUUAUAUUUUCAUCAGUUAUUCCCCUCUAGAGCCAAUUAACUAUAUGUUUUUGAAGUUUUGAAGUUUAGUUAUAAGAGAAAAAUAGCUUAUACACACCUUUAUGUUCUUGAGGUCCAUCUUCAAACCAUCGUCGGCUCGUCCGCCAUUUUGAAGAGGGGAAGACUUCAUUUUUUCAAUUGGUUUUUUUUUUUUUCAAACUUGAUUAUUUAUGUGAACACAAUAAACUGUAUGAUUUUAUAUGUAAAACACCAACAUUAUGAUGAAACUUUAUUUUCUGCAAGACUUACUUUUAUUAACAAAUUUAUGCAUUUUUUGUCAUUUCGAGGCAUUUAUAUUUAAUUUUUAUGAGAAUUUUCCUUUCAAAAUUGUGAAACAUACACUCCUUUGCAUUUACCAAGUCAAACUAAUAUAGAAAGUCUCAUCAUAAAUGUUUUUACUGUUAUUGGUUCCAUGUUAAUGUCUAUCAUGUCUAUUGUUACCUUUGUUUUGGCGGCCAUCUUGGAUUUGACCUAUUUUCGGAUGGUUCCCCAUGUCCGAUUUUGGUAAACUAUUUUUUUUUUUUAAUGUAUAGGUGUCAAGGCACCAAAAUCCAGCAAUAAACCUUUUCCGUCAA